rnacentral:sRNA from 2 species
UAUCUCUCCGUACGGGGAAGGAUGAGAAGCUUCGACUAAGGUUCGAUUCGAGCGCAGCGAGAAAGCGUUGCCGUAGGCAACGACCCGAA